UCAUGCGAAACGCACCGCGGCAGGGGCGGGGGAACCAGGUAAGUCGCCCUGGGCAGGUCCACGGACCGGUCCGGGGCUUGGGGUGAAGCCGUGCGCGCCGAGAGGCGUGCGCGGCCGGGCAACUCCGGCCCGAAUCCGACAGCUCACCUCGCAGGCGUGGGAGAGGAACG
rnacentral:sRNA from 2 species